rnacentral:rRNA from 1 species
UACGUAGGGGGCGAGCGUUGUCCGGAAUCAUUGGGCGUAAAGCGCGUGUAGGCGGCUCGUUAAGUCCGGUGUGAAACCUUGGGGCUCAACCCCAAGCCUGCACUGGAUACUGACGAGCUCGAGUCCGGGAGGGGAGAGCGGAAUUCCUAGUGUAGCGGUGAAAUGCGCAGAUAUCGGGAGGAACACCUAUGGCGAAGGCAGCUCGCUGGGACGUUACUGACGCUGAGGAGCGAAAGCGUGGGGAGCGAACAGG